rnacentral:rRNA from 1 species
GACCGGCGCACGGGUGAGUAUCGCGUAUCCAACCUUCCCUCCACUCGGGGAUACCCCGUUGAAAGACGGCCUAAUACCCGAUGUUGUCCACAUAUGGCAUCUGACGUGGACCAAAGAUUCAUCGGUGGAGGAUGGGGAUGCGUCUGAUUAGCUUGUUGGUGCGGGUAACGGCCCACCAAGGCAACGAUCAGUAGGGGUUCUGAGAGGAAGGUCCCCCACAUUGGAACUGAGACACGGUCCAA